rnacentral:rRNA from 1 species
CUAGCGACUUCAGAGUUUGAUCCUGGCUCAGGAUGAACGCUGGCGGCGUGCUUAACACAUGCAAGUCGAGCGAAGCACUUUGACGCUUUCGGACAGAUGAGUGACUGAGCGGCGGACGGGUGAGUAACGCGUGGGUAACCUGCCUCACACAGGGGGAUAACAGUUAGAAAUGACUGCUAAUACCGCAUAAGACCACAGCACCGCAUGGUGCAGGGGUAAAAACUCCGGUGGUGUGAGAUGGACCCGCGUCUGAUUAGCUAGUUGGUGAGGUAACGGCUCACCAAGGCGACGAUCAGUAGCCGACCUGAGAGGGUGACCGGCCACAUUGGGACUGAGACACGGCCCAA